rnacentral:rRNA from 1 species
UACGUNCCAGCAGCCGCGGUAAUACGUAGGGUGCGAGCGUUAAUNGGAAUUACUGGGCGUAAAGCGGGCGCAGACGGUUACUUAAGCAGGAUGUGAANUCCCCGGGCUCAACCUGGGAACUGCGUUNUGAACUGGGUGACUAGAGUGUNUCAGAGGGAGGUAGUAUUCCACGUGUAGCAGUGAAAUGCGUAGAGAUGUGGAGGAAUACCGAUGGCGAAGGCAGCCUCCUGGGAUAACACUGACGUUCAUGCCCGAAAGCGUGGGUAGCAAACAGGAUUAGAUACCCUGGUAGUCCACGCCCUAAACGAUGUCGAUUAGCUGUUGGGCAGCAUGACUGCUUAGUAGCGAAGCUAACGCGUGAAAUCGACCGCCUGGGGAGUACGGUCGCAAGAUUAAAACUCAAAGGAAUUGACGGGGACCCGCACAAGCGGUGGAUGAUGUGGAUUAAUUCGAUGCAACGCGAAGAACCUUACCUGGUCUUGACAUGUACGGAAUCCUCCAGAGACGGAGGAGUGCCUUCGGGAGCCGUAACACAGGUGCUGCAUGGCUGUCGUCAGCUCGUGUCGUGAGAUGUUGGGUUAAGUCCCGCAACGAGCGCAACCCUUGUCAUUAGUUGCCAUCAUUAAGUUGGGCACUCUAAUGAGACUGCCGGUGACAAGCCGGAGGAAGGUGGGGAUGACGUCAAGUCCUCAUGGCCCUUAUGACCAGGGCUUCACACGUCAUACAAUGGUCGGUACAGAGGGUAGCCAAGCCGCGAGGCGGAGCCAAUCUCACAAAACUGAUCGUAGUCCGGAUUGCACUCUGCAACUCGAGUGCAUGAAGUCGGAAUCGCUAGUAAUCGCAGGUCAGCAUACUGCGGUGAAUACGUUCCCGGGUCUUGUACACACCGCCCGUCACACCAUGGGAGUGGGGGAUACCAGAAGUAGGUAGGGUAACCGCAAGG